CUCUAAUAUAAUAAUAAGAUACUAUUAAUCUGUGUUUUGUUUUUAGAGAUCUGUGUAAAUUUAUGAUUAACAAACGAAAUUACAAUACUUGAACAAAUGUUAAUUUUUGACAAAAUUACGCUGCAUCUUCCAUAUAAUGGUUCAACUAAAUCUAGUUUUGACCUGGGCUUCUGUGAAUGGAUUGUGGAUGGUAUUAAAACUAGUUUAUCUUUUAAAAUAAAAUCCUUUAAAUGGACAUAUACAGUAGGUGUAACGUGAUUUGGAAUGAAUACACACUUGCAGGAUUUUUCACAUAAAUCUCAUCUGGUACCUCCAUGUCAACUUGUUCAAGACUUAAAAUUUCAAAUGGUAACAUAGAGGGCCGCCGAGAGUCUUCGCGCCGCCCGGGACAGAAUCCUUGAGUGAAGGAUCUUUUUUUUUUUAGAUACAUUUCUUUUCUUGGCGCCCCUCGGACAUCUGCCGCCCGGGACAAACUGUCCCUUUCGCCCCACCCUCUCGGCGGCACUGAUUUCCUGUAGGAUGCCUGUUAGAAAAACUGAAGAACUGAAAGAAGAAACUUUUAAACUUGAUGUUGGGAACUGUAGAAGUUACUGUUAUACAUAGUAUCAUAUCAAGGCUCCAGUUCUCUAUGCUUGUUAGUUAUAUGCAAGAUAUGGCAUAGUAUAGCACACUGCAUGUGUAAAAAUGGAUGAAAGCACUAAAGAAGCAAAACGAUACAAAUUAAAGAAGAAUUUUGUCAUGCGAUCACGGUUGCAAUAUGAGAACUACCGUAACAGAAUAUAUUUAUUGUCGAACAGUUUUGAAUCAAUUCAUUGUAUGAUGAUAGUUUUUUGUUGCUUAAAAAUAUUAUGAAAUUCAAA